rnacentral:lncRNA from 1 species
AAUUCUUCCAUCUCCUUGCCCCAAGACAAAAUAUAUUUCAAAGAUACCCCCUUUUCUCUGAUCCCUCAUUCCCCUGUCUCCUUACCCCUGUCCACCCCUCUAUUAAGGUCUGGGGUUUGAUUGACUUGUUUAUUUUCUUGAGAAUAUGAUAUAAUUGGCCUAAUUUGUAAAUGAUAAACCCUACAGUAGGAGGCAAUACAUCUUAUCGAAGGAUUCAUCUUGAUCAAUCACAAUUUGUUUACCAUUAACCCCCCCCCC